CGAACGUAUCACCCAAGACAACUUUACGGAGUUGACGAUUGACGGAGCGAAGCGACGUCAAAGCGUUCAUUAAAGUCGAGUUGGCUUAGGGAUACGUUCGUUGGGUAGGGGAGCGUUCUGUAAGCCUGUGAAGGUGUGUCGUGAGGCAUGCUGGAGGUAUCAGAAGUGCGAAUGCUGACAUAAGUAACGAUAAAGCGGGUGAAAAGCCCGCUCGCCGGAAGACCAAGGGUUCCUGUCCAACGUUAAUCGGGGCAGGGUGAGUCGACCCCUAAGGCGAGGCCGAAAGGCGUAGUCGAUGGGAAACGGGUUAAUAUUCCCGUACUUGGUGUUACUGCGAAGGGGGGACGGAGAAGGCUAUGUUGGCCGGGCGACGGUUGUCCCGGUUUAAGCGUGUAGGUGUGUGUUCCAGGUAAAUCCGGUUCACUUUAACACUGAGGCGUGACGACGAGGCACUACGGUGCUGAAGCAACAAAUGCCCUGCUUCCAGGAAAAGCCUCUAAGCAUCAGGUAACAUCAAAUCGUACCCCAAACCGACACAGGUGGUCAGGUAGAGAAUACCAAGGCGCUUGAGAGAACUCGGGUGAAGGAACUAGGCAAAAUGGUGCCGUAACUUCGGGAGAAGGCACGCUGACACGUAGGUGAAGUGAUUUACUCAUGGAGCUGAAGUCAGUCGAAGAUACCAGCUGGCUGCAACUGUUUAUUAAAAACACAGCACUGUGCAAACACGAAAGUGGACGUAUACGGUGUGACGCCUGCCCGGUGCCGGAAGGUUAAUUGAUGGGGUCAGCGCAAGCGAAGCUCCUGAUCGAAGCCCCGGUAAACGGCGGCCGUAACUAUAACGGUCCUAAGGUAGCGAAAUUCCUUGUCGGGUAAGUUCCGACCUGCACGAAUGGCGUAAUGAUGGCCAGGCUGUCUCCACCCGAGACUCAGUGAAAUUGAACUCGCUGUGAAGAUGCAGUGUACCCGCGGCAAGACGGAAAGACCCCGUGAACCUUUACUAUAGCUUGACACUGAACAUUGAGCCUUGAUGUGUAGGAUAGGUGGGAGGCUUUGAAGUGUGGACGCCAGUCUGCAUGGAGCCGACCUUGAAAUACCACCCUUUAAUGUUUGAUGUUCUAACGUGGACCCGUAAUCCGGGUUGCGGACAGUGUCUGGUGGGUAGUUUGACUGGGGCGGUCUCCUCCUAAAGAGUAACGGAGGAGCACGAAGGUUGGCUAAUCCUGGUCGGACAUCAGGAGGUUAGUGCAAUGGCAUAAGCCAGCUUGACUGCGAGCGUGACGGCGCGAGCAGGUGCGAAAGCAGGUCAUAGUGAUCCGGUGGUUCUGAAUGGAAGGGCCAUCGCUCAACGGAUAAAAGGUACUCCGGGGAUAACAGGCUGAUACCGCCCAAGAGUUCAUAUCGACGGCGGUGUUUGGCACCUCGAUGUCGGCUCAUCACAUCCUGGGGCUGAAGUAGGUCCCAAGGGUAUGGCUGUUCGCCAUUUAAAGUGGUACGCGAGCUGGGUUUAGAACGUCGUGAGACAGUUCGGUCCCUAUCUGCCGUGGGCGCUGGAGAACUGAGGGGGGCUGCUCCUAGUACGAGAGGACCGGAGUGGACGCAUCACUGGUGUUCGGGUUGUCAUGCCAAUGGCACUGCCCGGUAGCUAAAUGCGGAAGAGAUAAGUGCUGAAAGCAUCUAAGCACGAAACUUGCCCCGAGAUGAGUUCUCCCUGAGACUUAGAGUCUCCUGAAGGAACGUUGAAGACGACGACGUUGAUAGGCCGGGUGUGUAAGCGCAGCGAUGCGUUGAGCUAACCGGUACUAAUGAACCGUGAGGCUUAACCUUACA
rnacentral:rRNA from 1 species